GCAGUCGAACGAACUCUGGUAUUGAUUGGUGCUUGCAUCAUGAUUUACAUUUGAGUGAGUGGCGAACUGGUGAGUAACACGUGGGAAACCUGCCCAGAAGCGGGGGAUAACACCUGGAAACAGAUGCUAAUACCGCAUAACAACUUGGACCGCAUGGUCCGAGCUUGAAAGAUGGCUUCGGCUAUCACUUUUGGAUGGUCCCGCGGCGUAUUAGCUAGAUGGUGGGGUAACGGCUCACCAUGGCAAUGAUACGUAGCCGACCUGAGAGGGUAAUCGGCCACAUUGGGACUGAGACACGGCCCAAACUCCUACGGGAGGCAGCAGUAGGGAAUCUUCCACAAUGGACGAAAGUCUGAUGGAGCAACGCCGCGUGAGUGAAGAAGGGUUUCGGCUCGUAAAACUCUGUUGUUAAAGAAGAACAUAUCUGAGAGUAACUGUUCAGGUAUUGACGGUAUUUAACCAGAAAGCCACGGCUAACUACGUGCCAGCAGCCGCGGUAAUACGUAGGUGGCAAGCGUUGUCCGGAUUUAUUGGGCGUAAAGCGAGCGCAGGCGGUUUUUUAAGUCUGAUGUGAAAGCCUUCGGCUCAACCGAAGAAGUGCAUCGGAAACUGGGAAACUUGAGUGCAGAAGAGGACAGUGGAACUCCAUGUGUAGCGGUGAAAUGCGUAGAUAUAUGGAAGAACACCAGUGGCGAAGGCGGCUGUCUGGUCUGUAACUGACGCUGAGGCUCGAAAGUAUGGGUAGCAAACAGGAUUAGAUACCCUGGUAGUCCAUACCGUAAACGAUGAAUGCUAAGUGUUGGAGGGUUUCCGCCCUUCAGUGCUGCAGCUAACGCAUUAAGCAUUCCGCCUGGGGAGUACGGCCGCAAGGCUGAAACUCAAAGGAAUUGACGGGGGCCCGCACAAGCGGUGGAGCAUGUGGUUUAAUUCGAAGCUACGCGAAGAACCUUACCAGGUCUUGACAUACUAUGCAAAUCUAAGAGAUUAGACGUUCCCUUCGGGGACAUGGAUACAGGUGGUGCAUGGUUGUCGUCAGCUCGUGUCGUGAGAUGUUGGGUUAAGUCCCGCAACGAGCGCAACCCUUAUUAUCAGUUGCCAGCAUUAAGUUGGGCACUCUGGUGAGACUGCCGGUGACAAACCGGAGGAAGGUGGGGAUGACGUCAAAUCAUCAUGCCCCUUAUGACCUGGGCUACACACGUGCUACAAUGGAUGGUACAACGAGUUGCGAACUCGCGAGAGUAAGCUAAUCUCUUAAAGCCAUUCUCAGUUCGGAUUGUAGGCUGCAACUCGCCUACAUGAAGUCGGAAUCGCUAGUAAUCGCGGAUCAGCAUGCCGCGGUGAAUACGUUCCCGGGCCUUGUACACACCGCCCGUCACACCAUGAGAGUUUGUAACACCCAAAGUCGGUGGGGUAACCUUUUAGGAACCAGC
rnacentral:rRNA from 3 species